rnacentral:rRNA from 1 species
UACGGGGGGGGCAAGCGUUGUUCGGAAUUACUGGGCGUAAAGGGCUCGUAGGUGGCCAACUAAGUCAGACGUGAAAUCCCUCAGCUUAACUGGGGAACUGCGUCUGAUACUGGAUGGCUUGAGUUCGGGAGAGGGAUGCGGAAUUCCUGGUGUAGCGGUGAAAUGCGCAGAUAUCAGGAGGAACACCGGUGGCGAAGGCGGGUCUCUGGGCCGUAACUGACGCUGAGGAGCGAAAGCGUGGGGAGCGAACAGG